UUCUUCAGGGCAGGGUGUAAUUCCCUACUGGCGGUAAAGUCCGCGACCUUGUGUCAAAGCAUGGCACGAGCUGAUUCGGUGAAACUCCGGGACCAACAGUAUAGUCUGGAUGAAAGAAGAA
rnacentral:ncRNA from 1 species